UACGGAGGAUGCGAGCGCUAUCCGGAUUUAUUGGGUUUAAAGGGUGCGUAGGCGGACUGUCAAGUCAGCGGUAAAAUUGAGAGGCUCAACCUCUUCCCGCCGUUGAAACUGGUGGUCUUGAGUGGAUGAGAAGUACGCGGAAUGCGUGGUGUAGCGGUGAAAUGCAUAGAUAUCACGCAGAACUCCGAUUGCGAAGGCAGCGUACCGGCAUCCAACUGACGCUGAGGCACGAAAGCGUGGGGAUCAAACAGG
rnacentral:rRNA from 1 species